AUUGAACGCUGGCGGCAUGCCUUACACAUGCAAGUCGAACGGUAACAGGUCUUCGGAUGCUGACGAGUGGCGAACGGGUGAGUAAUACAUCGGAACGUGCCUAGUAGUGGGGGAUAACUACUCGAAAGAGUGGCUAAUACCGCAUGAGAUCUACGGAUGAAAGCAGGGGAUCGCAAGACCUUGUGCUACUAGAGCGGCCGAUGGCAGAUUAGGUAGUUGGUGGGAUAAAAGCUUACCAAGCCGACGAGCUGUAGCUGGGCUGAGAGGACGAUCAGGCACAGUGGGACUUGGACACGGCGCAGACUCCGACUGGAGGCAGCAGUGGGGAAUUUUGGACAAUGGGCGCAAGCCUGAUCCAGCAAUGCAGCGAGCAGGAUGAAGGCCUUCGGGUUGUAAACUGCUUUUGUACGGAACGAAAAGCCCUGGGUUAAUACCGUGGGGUCAUGACGGUACCGUAAGAAUAAGCACCGGCUAACUACGUGCCAGCCGCCGCCGUAA
rnacentral:rRNA from 1 species